UCUUCUCUGUGUGUUUAAUCAGCAGAACAAUUGAAUGAGAAAGGAAUAUAGUUCUGCAAUGACACAAUUAAUGGCCUUCUAGAGAGCAGUAUUAUCCUCAUUGUGAGCCUCUAUCACUGGGACCUACCACAGGCCAGAAAAAUUGGUGAAAUGUCUCAAGGUAAAUGUUUCUGAUAGGACAUGUUCCUACAUCUAAGGACUACAUCACAUUAGAAAAAUGUUUAAAGACGCCUGCAUGUUUUUAAGUGUGCUAAUAAUCAUUUUCUGUUCAUUUGCAUUUAAAAUACAUUGCUGUAUUACUUACAUUUCAGCAGCUCCAAAGAUAAGAAGUCUUUGUUAGUAAGAAAAUGAACUUCAGGCAGUUGCUGAAAAAGGUUACAAAACAGGUGAACAUGCACCAGGACUGCAGCUCGGUGGAAGUGGAGCAUACAACGCAGCACACAUAUAAUUAAAGUAAAAUUUAAAUUGAAUUUUAAGUUGUGUGAAGUGAGAAUUUUUAGCACACUGAUUAAGCUUUUCGUCCUGCUCUUUAAACAGAAAUACAGCUUUGUAACCAUGCCAGUUCCAAAUGGCACAUCAAAUUUAUUUAGUAGCUGAGGCAACCUGAUUUCAGACCACUAAUGCAUAUUCAGGGAUCACACGCAAUGAAAGAUGCUUGACGUAGCCCUUUGUUGUGACAACUUAAUACUUCUUGCAGUUUAAAUGCCCCCUUGAAAAACACUGCAAAACUGGUUGAGUAAGAAAAUGUCCAGGUUAGCCUAGAAACAUGGAAUAAAAUCCUGGUCUGGUGAAAUGAACUCAGUUUUUCAGAGUGACUGCAGUGACUCAUAGAAAGAAACACUCACUAACUUCAAUAAAUUAGGCAAAGAUAUCCAAGAUAAGAGAUGCUGGACAGGACACUAUACUGAAUGCUGUGUGUAACCUCUAUGAGCACCUCAAGGAAUUUAAGGAAGGCAUAUUGCAUAAAUGUUUGUGGUUUUUAUAAGAAAUGAAAGCUUCCAUGAUAUACUUAGAAGAAAUGAUGCAAUAUUUUCAGAUACACCUUAAUCCAGAAGCUCCUCUCCACUAUCUUCCUGCAUUGCCUACAAUGUAACAGUUACAGUGUGCAUAUGCUCUUAUGUAUUCUUACAGACUCACGCAAAUGUAUGGCACUCUUACAACACCUGGCACAGUGAGCAGCAUGGUAAUAAGUAUUCAUUCUGUAAUUAUGCUUCUACUUCUAUCAAGGGCUUAGCAAUUAUGCAUAAACUGCAGAAUUAUCACUUUGUUUUUAAGGUAUGGUUGGAAUUUCCUUAAUGAGUGGCUGGGGGGAACCUGUUGAUCCACACAGCCAAGCAGACAUAGAUGCUGCUGAGAUAUACUCAUCAUGUAUUGUCCUACUCCUGUUCUUCCUCCAAAAUCACAGAUAAAAUUGGCACAACUGAGCACUCUUUUUGUGUAAGAAAAACAGUACAGUACUUCAGCUGCAUUAUGAAACACUUACCACAAGUGCCUCCUUUUGCACUGUUGUAAAGGUGAAUAAAUGUUAUUUGCUCUGUCCAUGCAGCUCUGUCCAGACCUGCUUCUAAUUUUUUUAAACUCAAUUCUCAAAAUAUAAUUUAGAAAUUUUAAUAAAACCUGAAAUAUAUUUUCUUUCUGCAUUAUUUUCUUUAAGUUUUAAGCAGCAAAUUCUGUUUCUUGUUAUUUUGGUAAUGAUUAUAUGGAAUAGCUAGAUACGAUGAAAGUGAUUCUAACCUUGCCAGCACACAUUUCAAGUGAUUAAAAUCUGCAAAUUCUGUUUU